UACGUAGGGUGCAAGCGUUUAAUCGGAAUUACUGGGCGUAAAGCGUGCGCAGGCGGUGAUGUAAGACAGUUGUGAAAUCCCCGGGCUCAACCUGGGAACUGCAUCUGUGACUGCAUCGCUGGAGUGCGGCAGAGGGGGAUGGAAUUCCGCGUGUAGCAGUGAAAUGCGUAGAUAUGCGGAGGAACACCGAUGGCGAAGGCAAUCCCCUGGGCCUGCACUGACGCUCAUGCACGAAAGGCGUGGGGAGCAAACAGGG
rnacentral:rRNA from 1 species